GAUGAAGAGAGGGAUGGAUGGAUGGAUGGAUCUCCCCUCCACCGAUCGGGGUUUUGUGUUCGCGCGCUGCCUCCGACUCACAAGCCGAGGGAUGAGGCGAGCAGCAGGCAACGUGAUCCUGACUGGAUAAUCCAGAUUCUCAUCCUCGGGAUAAUCUGCUGCUGCUGCUUUAAUCAAACAGCAGCUAAUGGAGCGAGCUGACGAUCAACAGAGGUUCACUUGAGUCACUGCUCAGUCAGCCAGUCUCACUUCUUCAUCGACCAGUGGAGAGUCGACUGGUCUUCGAGGGCAAACUGGGCUGAGAGUGAAGUUCCAGGUCACAGAACCGAAUGUACACAACUGAACCUGUGGGAGAAUACGACCCGUGGAGUUUAAUGGAGAAACGAUUUUAAGACGUGACACUGAACUGAAUACACAGUUUAGAGUGUCGUGAGGCCGGCUGACUGCUCCAGGCCACUUCCACACCAGUGGAGUGUUUGAAGAAAGAGUCAAACAUCCCUCACACCGAGUUUGUCCUGACGUGAACUGGACGAUAACUGCUCCUCAGAUCAGUUUUCAGCUUCUAACUCAGAUUUCUAACCAACUUGUUUCUGUUAAUAAUGUGUAAAACACUCUAAGGGGAAGUAUCCAGUAGAAAGAUCUGCUUGUGAAUCCAGGAAAUAAAAAACAGUCAGUUUUC